rnacentral:misc_RNA from 1 species
GGGGCAAGCUUAGUGAGUUUUCUCUACAAAAAAACAAAGAGUUGUUUCUUUCUCCUAUUACAAAUACUAAUGAUCCUUCUGAGUCCUGUCCAAUUAAGUGUUUUUCAGUGGNNNNNCGUCAGAAUUUGGACACAACUAUGAAAAAGCGUAAGGCACCCUUCAAUGAGGAUGCGGAGGAUGGACAAUUUUGUUGGCGGCCUAAGUUUCCUUCUAACUAGUUCAUUGGUCAUAUAGAAAGGCCAGGUUUGUAGACAAUGUU